rnacentral:lncRNA from 13 species
AUUCUUUUUCUGUGGUCUUGGCUGAUUUCUUUUGAUUUUCUCAUGAUGUCAAGCGAAGAGGCACUGAGUUUGAAGGUUGGCCUUGAAAUACAUCCACAGACUCAAAUGAUGUCAAUUAGCCUAACAUAAGCUUCUAAAGCCACGACAUCCUUUUCUGGAAUUUUCCAAGCUGUUUAAAGGCACAGUCAACUUAGUGCAUGUAAACUUCUGACCCACUGGAAUUGAGAUACAGUGAUUUAUAAGUUAACUAAUCUGUCUGUAAACAAUUGUUGGAAAAAUUACUUGUGUCAUGCACAAAGUAGAUGUCCUAACCGACUUGCCAAAACUAGAGUUUGUUAACAAGGAAUUUGUGGAGUGGUUGAAAAACGACUUUUAAUGACUUCAACCUAAGUGUAUGUAAACUUCCGACUUCAACUGUACAAGCCAGUUUCAAUACAAAUUACUUAUACAAAAAAAGUACUCUAAUUUAUCAUAUUAUUUGACUUUAAAACAGAAUAAUUUAGUCUUUUUUUUCUUCUCCAAACCGGCAGAAGCUUUUCUCUUUUAUCUUUCUGUAAUGAAAAUAAAAAAAAAUAAAUAAAUGAAAUAAAUUCUUAUUUUUUAUUAUUAGAUGUGGUUGACACACCUCCACCACACUAAGGUGUUUUCCCAGAGCAAAAGCAACGAUUCCCCCACUAUUUUCAAUGGUGCAGAUGUGUUUGACACACCUCCACCAGAGCAACGUUCCUCACAGCAUUACAUAUUAUUUGUUUGACUGUGAUGAUUUCUGUUUUUUUUUUCAAGAACCUCUCUGUCUGAUGUGCAGAAGAAGACAACCAACUCUGACUCGCUACAAGUCCUCUUAGGUGUCUCAGAGGACACCCUCAUCACCUGUGUGCAGGACAGCCUGCAAGGAUCUCUCUCCAAACUUGCAUGCAUGUCCAAUUCUCCAUCUGGAAGUGCAGGCUCUCCGAAGAUGACCCCUGCUGUAAUGGCAGGAGUGAUUAAAGAUGUCAAGUCGGCCGUAUCAGUAGUCGUUAAGAGUGCCUCCGCUAGCCAAACCUCUCAAGUGACACCGGUAAGGGGAGACUCACAGACCAAGGUGACUGAGAGCAUGGUGAGAGAGCUGGCUGCUAAACUUGAAAAAGUUGACCAAGAGAGCAAGAGUCUAACAGGGCAAGUCAUGACCAUGAUCUCUGACACAAUGGUGGCUUUUGUUGACGAGAACGAACAGAAUUUGCUGAAAGAUCUGAAGGACAAGAUCACGUUUUUGGCAUCGCAUGUUGGCUUCAUUGACGAUCUUGAUGCCCUGAUAAGGAAAUACGAGAGCAGCUACAAUAUUGGUGAAUCUGGUUCCUCCUGCACGCUCACAUCUAAGAGCAUCCAAAAACUCUCCAGCCGGGAGUUUCAAACAUCAGCAAUACAAGCAUCACCAAUAGUAUGUGAGUUCCCCUGUCAAAUUGAGGACAGCAGAAGUAAGGCCACAGCUUCUUUGACCAGUCUGUUAGAUUGUAUUAGAAAACUCUCAAGUGAGGAAUUUAAGAGAAAUGCCACUCAAGCAGUGAGUGAGUUCCUAGUUAAAAAGUCCACCAGUAGCUUAACUAGUGCACAGCCUGCUUAUUCUGUAGCAUCCAGGUCUUGUUCCAUACAAAACCAGUACACAUGGUCAAAGGAUAUUUGUGCGGAUUCUGCUGCCUUUGGCAUCAUUGAAACAUUUGUGGAAGACCUGCAGAGCUUGGCGCAACCUGUAGAAGUAGAGGAGAGAGAACCUGACCUCCAGGAAAAUGCACAAAAGCUACAGAGCAGGAUCUGGUCUGCUACCUCUAGUUUAUAUAACAAUAUUCAGAAGACAUUAAAGGACUUCAUCAUUCAUCAGCGGAGGUCAGACAUGCUGAGCAGAAUGUCUAGUCAUAUACCCACAGAGGACUCUGGACAUCUUGAGACUAAGGAGCACAUUUGUUUGGCAAGCCAGGACUUGAGGCAAGCUAGUAAGAGUGUGCCUCACUUGCACAGUUUGAACCUUGAAGUGGCUCUACACAGGGGUGUCAGCGAGAGUUCAAAACUUCUCUGGACUGAAACAGACGAGGCUCUACUGACCAAUAGUACCAAAGAGGUCAUUUCAACAAUCUUGACCUCAUGCGAGGAUCAGGCAUCAAAUGCACCUUGCUUCUCCACAGUAGGAAAGAAAAUAUCUGAUAUGUCCCUUGAGGUCAACAUGUUGGUAGGUGGUGUUCUGUCUCAGCUGAAGGACAUCUCCUUGUCAAGGUCCCCAACACCAUGUGAAGACAUGUUUGAACGUCUCCAAGGUUCUCCUGAGCGAACCUCUCCAGUAAGUCUAAAUUGCAGCACUGCUGCCUCCAAAGGCAUUGCAUCUUCCCACAGUCUUUCAACAAAGAGCCUCCAAAAACGUUCUAGUCAUGAGUUCCAAACCAAAGCUGAGAAAGGAGUGAGUGAGGUCCUCUCUAGAUCAUUUAACAUUGUGGAGGAAGGUACAACAGAUCAGUACCUCCAGUCUGUAUCUACAUCCACCACAUCUACUGAUAUUAUACAAACCAUGGUGAAAGACCAGCAGGAGCUCACCCAGACCACCCAAUCAUCUGACAUGGUAUCUGGAACCUCCCUGCUCACCACUGGACAGGUUUCUGAGAAAAUAAUCUGGUCUGUUGCUCGUAAAAUCUACUACAGUCUGCAAAGUAAGAUUACGGAGUUUCUCAGAAAAGAUCUUCAAAGAUCAGACACAACACUUGGUUCAAUCCAAAUCUUUACAUAUCAAAGCAGUCCUGCAUCACAAAGAGCAAGUCUCGGCCAUCUUGAGGUCAACCAGAGCAGUGUUACACCUGGUGGAAACGAUGCCUGUGUGGACAUUCCGCACAAAUUACUACCUAAAACCACUGAGCUCUCAGGAUCCAUGCUGGAGGAUAUUGACACGAUCCGUUGUAGGAGUGCUGACAGCCAAAAUACAAGAAAUACCUCUUCUUCACGCUCUUCUAUCUCUCUAACACCUACUUCAAAAUUAAGGCAGUCGAAAUGGCACUUUGCUUUACCCGGGACUCCCAUCCCCACUGAGUUUCCUGCUCAGAUUGACUUUCCCAUUGUUAGAAACACAAUCAUUGAGGACUUCUUUCACACAGAGGACUUACUUCCUGUAACCUUUGUGGACAAAGUCAGGCAAGCUGCUGGGGUGGUAGUGGACAUUAUGGUGGAAAGUGUUGAGAACACACAGGAAGAUGGACAGGGUGCUUCUCAUCCUGACGACCUCCGAUCUGCUGUUAGGAAAUUGAGAAAAAUCAUUUCCACUUGGACCAUCCACAUUUUCAGUCAUGAAUUGGUGGAUAAAGUGAUAGCCCUUCAGGACAGCCACAGCACUCCACAGGUCUUAACAUUGGAAGCAGCCAAAAGUGCUUCAGACUCCAUUCUUUCAAGGCUGAAAUGGGGAAAUGAACAAUGUGCCAUAUCCAAGGAGCUCUCCUCUCAGCUUCUCCAGAUAUUUGCUGAAGAGACAGUGAAGUGCUUCCUGAGACAGUGGUCAGAUGAGUAUGAAAACAUAAACUUUGAUGUUUCAGUCCAGAACGAUCCAAAGACUUCUACUUGCAUGGUCAUUCUUCAAAUGAUCACCAAAGCCACUGCUAAAUGUUAUUUUGAGUCCGCUACCAGCGUGGCCACCAGUGACAUUGUAGAAGGCGUGUUUGAUUUGGAAAGGGAUACCAUCAGCAGUACUGGAGAGCAGGUCCUCACCUUCAAUACNNNNNNNNNNNNNNNNNNNNNNNNNNNNNNNNNNNNNNNNNNNNNNNNNNNNNNNNNNNNNNNNNNNNNNNNNNNNNNNNNNNNNNNNNNNNNNNNNNNNCUAACAUACCAUUCACUAACAUACAGACCUGACCAUACCAUUCACUAACAUACAGUCCCGUACAUACCAUUCACUAACAUACAGUCCCGUACAUACCAUUCACUAACAUACAGUCUUGUAUAUACCAUUCACUAACAUACAGACCUGACCAUACCAUUCACUAACAUACAGUCCUGUAUAUACCAUUCACUAACAUACAGUCCUGUAUAUACCAUUCACUAACAUACCAUUCACUAACAUACAGUCCUGUAUAUACCAUUCACUAACAUACAAUCCUGUACAUACCUGAAGGGAACAUUUUGACAUUUUCCAUAUGGUUAGUGAGAACGUCCACAUUGCAAAUGUUCAGUCUCUUACUAGACGUCCGCGAACAUUUCUAAAAUCAGCGGACGGCGUCGGGCCGUGCAGCAGGUCCGGAUCUUCCAGGAAGUCAUCAAUCUCUCGGUUUCCGUUUUAUAACCUUUUCAAAUCUUGGUCAUUUUUCCGCUGUCCUGGUAAAUCCCACAAGAGGUCAAAUGGAAUCAUAUUGCAAAUGUACAAAACACCACCAAUCACGACGUGGUCUUUUCUCCUCAGCGGAAAAGACUUCGAAGACGAAACUUGGUGAGCAUAGGUUUGGCAUAAUGGGCAGUUGGCCCCGAACAAGAUGGCGUUGAGGCCUCAACGGUUUUUGAGUUAUGGCCAUUUUUCUGGGAUUAAAGGUCAAAAAUGAAAAUAGAGCGUUAAUUUGACCGCUUCACGUCAAAGUAAAUGAACCUACGGUGUCAGGAAAAAAAGAACCAGCCAUUUAUCUAUCGUAAUUUAAGAGAAAUCGUACAAUGUACAAUUAGUGAUGUUCAAAAAAAGGUGUUUAAAAAAUAAAUGAAGGUACAGAUCCAGUUGCAGCGUGUUCAGACAAAUCUUUUUGAAGUGUGUUUCGGAGCUCUGUGAGAUUUCUGUGAUUUUCUGAAAUAACACACACUCAUUCAACCCUCUGUAAAUAAGUCAGUUCUUAACAUAAAGACUUAAAACUCAAAAUUCUAUAAGUGCCUACCCCAAGGAGGAUAUGUGUUUCAGCUUCCUGUGUCAACCGGAAGUGCCUUAAAAUGGUGUCAUAGGUGCUGUUUCGAAGGGUUAAAAAGGUAUGAUCUUUUCAAAACUUCAUUUGUGUGAUUAGGCAACCCUCAUGAACUGUAAGUUAGUCAUUUCUCCCAACAGAUGUUAAAGAAAAGCUCUCUCUCUCACACACACACACAGCAAGGAUGGACUGACAAAGUGCGGUGCUUAAAGAAACUCAGAGCCUGCAAUGGCAUCAUAAUCUCUAGGCUGUGCCGAGUUCAACG